rnacentral:rRNA from 1 species
AUGCAAAAUAAGAAAGAUAUGGACAAUGAUAUUGUUAAAUUGAAGUUAUUUCCUUUUUCCCUUAGAGAUCGUGCUAAAGCUUGGUUUUCGUCUUUGCCUAAAAAUAGUAUUGAUUCAUGGAAUAAGUGCAAAGAUGCUUUUAUCUCUAAGUAUUUUCCUCCCGCUAAAAUCAUCUCUCUUAGAAACGAUAUUAUGAAUUUUAAGCAACUUGAUCAUGAACAUGUUGCACAAGCUUUGGAGAGGAUGAAAUUAAUGAUACAUAAUUGCCCUACACAUGGUUUGAAUUUAUGGAUGAUUAUACAAAAUUUUUAUGCGGGAUUGAAUUUUGCUUCUAGAAAUCUUUUAGAUUCGGCCGCGGGAGGCACUUUUAUGGAAAUCACUUUAGGAGAAGCUACUAAACUCCUAGAUAAUAUUAUGGUUAAUUAUUCUCAAUGGCACACCGAAAGAUCUACUAAUAAAAAAGUGCAUGCGAUAGAAGAAAUUAAUGUUGAGUGGAAAAUGGAUGAACUUAUGAAAUUGUUUGCUAAUAAGAGUGUUUCCUCUGAUCCUAAUGAUGUGCCUUGUCUACCUUGA